UGGGGAAUAUUGGACAAUGGGGGCAACCCUGAUCCAGCCAUGCCGCGUGUGUGAAGAAGGCCUUCGGGUUGUAAAGCACUUUAAGUGGGGAGAAAGGUUCGCUGGCUAAUACCCAGCGGAAUUGAUGCUACCCACAGAAUAAGCACCGGCUAACUCUGUGCCAGCAGCCGCGGUAAUACAGAGGGUGCAAGCGUUAAUCGGAAUUACUGGGCGUAAAGCGCGCGUAGGCGGCUGCCUAAGUCGGAUGUGAAAGCCCCGGGCUCAACCUGGGAACUGCAUUCGAUACUGGGCGGCUAGAGUAUGAGAGAGGGAGGUAGAAUUCCACGUGUAGCGGUGAAAUGCGUAGAUAUGUGGAGGAAUACCGGUGGCGAAGGCGGCCUCCUGGUUCAAUACUGACGCUGAGGUGCGAAAGCGUGGGGAGCAAACAGG
rnacentral:rRNA from 1 species